rnacentral:lncRNA from 1 species
UCUCAUACUCAUAGUUUGAUCUCUUUCUGCCUAGCUCUCAUGUCUGUCUCUGGAUUGUUUCAAAUCCUAAGAGAAAAGGAAUAUCAUUUAUUGCCUCUUGCAAAGUAAAUACUCCUCUAUUUAACUGACGGGAUGAACCAAUGAUGUCAUUUAACAGUUUGUUUGUUGGUGAUCUCUACUGCUGAAAUCUCAUUAACAUACACAUUUACUCCUUUGAUCUUCACGAUAAUCCCAUGGAAUUGGCAAGUAAAAGGCAUUAUUGACAUUUUACAGACUGUGAACAAGAUGCCACCCCCAAAUGAUGUAGUCAAUGGUGCUACCAAAAUCUACUGCAAAUAACCUAAUAAUUGUACACAGACAUCUUGACAUAGGCCAGUUCUCAACAACAGUAAAAUUUUGAGCCUGGAGUAUGAGAGCUGUAGAAAGGACAGCAGAAAAGAAGCAUUGAAAAUAAAUAAAAACUGGUCAGGGGAAAUUUGACAGAACAGGUAUUGAAGUCUGUUUCUUGCAUUUAUAAAUUGAGUUCACUUUGGCAUAAGAUACCAGCAGACAUCUAAGAUGCAAGAGCUGGAGUGGAAGUUGAUACCUUCCUUAUACUCAAGAUCUCUUUAUUAAUGAUUUUGUCUUCCCAAAAUAAUUAUAAGAAAAAUGAACAAUCAGGGGCCAUUCUACCUAUUGUAAGCCAAAUACUUGGAUAUGUCAAAGAAUCCAACUGUUUAUCUCCAUCUUGUCCUACCGUGCAAGUGACCAAUACUUAGCUUUACUAUCUCCCCAGCUCAGCCUCACUUCAUAUCAAGAAGUGAGU